CAGUGAGGAAGGUGGAUAUGUUAAUAGCAUAUUCAUUUGACGUUAGCUGCAGAAGAAGCACCGGCUAACUCCGUGCCAGCAGCCGCGGUAAUACGGAGGGUGCGAGCGUUAAUCGGAAUUACUGGGCGUAAAGCGCAUGCAGGUGGUUUGUUAAGUCAGAUGUGAAAGCCCGGGGCUCAACCUCGGAAUUGCAUUUGAAACUGGCAAACUAGAGUACUGUAGAGGGGGUAGAAUUUCAGGUGUAGCGGUGAAAUGCGUAGAGAUCUGAAGGAAUACCGGUGGCGAAGGCGGCCCCCUGGACAGAUACUGACACUCAGAUGCGAAAGCGUGGGGAGCAAACAGGAUUAGAUACCCUGGUAG
rnacentral:rRNA from 1 species